rnacentral:misc_RNA from 1 species
GAAAAGCACAUAUUUGAAAUGCAUCACAGAAUUGAGCAAGAGAUAAGAUUUCUUGUUUAAUUUUUUCCUUAGUUUUACCUGUAGAUUUUUGAGAACUCAAAGGUGAAAUGGAGAUUAAGCAGCAUAAGAAAUCAGUAACAAUGAUUGAAAACACCCAAAAGCCCCAUGUAUGAAAAUUAAAGAGCUUUUAACAAGAUGUACAAAUUCAGGGUUUUUAACCCCUUUAUUAUGAGUGAAUAAUCUUGCCUUUCCAUAUUUCCUCUUCAGUUAAUUCCCUCACUUCAUUUUCAUACAAUGCAAGUUUAUCAAGUAUGAACAGUUGAACAGUAAAUUGAAAACAACCAACUGUAUGUCUGUAUCAGAAGUACAAAAUUUGGAAAGACAAACUGAUCUUAUUAGGAAACCUAAGUUCAUUACAGCCACUAGAAUGUUAAUAUUUACUUCUCAAUGAGUAAAUGAAAUGC